GACUGUGGCCUCCGCGCGGAGUCUGUGGCCCAGCCGCGUCCUCUGUCCGUCCGAAUCCAUGGGUCUCCAUGGCGACGGCAGGGGUGGGGGGCGGGCAGCCGGAGCAGGGCUGCGGCGCUCCGGGGGCCUCGGCGGCGGCGUCACGGUAUUCGCCGCUGUAGCCUCAGUGUUCACCCUCACGCUGCCCGCCUCGGUGCCGGGGGGAGACUCGGGGGAACUGAUCACAGCCGCACAUGAGCUUGGAGUUGCCCAUCCUCCUGGCUAUCCUUUGUUCACACUGGUGGCUAAACUAGCAAUUACACUCUUUCCUUUUGGUUCAGUUGCCUACCGAGUCAAUCUUCUCUGUGGCUUAUUUGGAGCAGUAGCUGCAUCAUUACUUUUUUUCACCGUUUUCAGGCUUUCUGGCUCAUAUGCUGGAGGAAUCCUUGCUGCGGGGGUGUUUUCAUUUUCUCGUCUAACAUGGCAGUGGUCCAUCACAGCAGAGGUUUUUAGCUUAAACAAUCUGUUUGUGGGGCUGCUUAUGGCUCUUACUGUACAUUUUGAGGAGGCAGCAACUGCAAAGGAGAGAUCAAAGAUAGCUAAAAUCGGUGCUUUCUGCUGUGGCCUUAGCUUAUGUAAUCAGCACACAAUAGUCCUCUAUGUUUUAUGCAUAAUACCUUGGAUUCUCUUUCGACUUUUAAAAGAGAAGGAGCUAUCACUGGGCUUUUUGUUGAAUUUGAGUCUGUGUUUCUCUGCUGGUUUGCUGCCCUAUAUCUACCUUCCCAUCUCAUCCUACCUCAAUCAUGCUCGCUGGACUUGGGGAGACCAGACAACACUGCGAGGAUUUCUGACACAUUUUCUCAGGGAAGAAUAUGGAACAUUCAGCCUGGCCAAAUCUGAAAUAGGAUCCAGUAUGUCUGAAAUACUGGUUUCACAAGUAAUAAAUAUGAGGACCGAACUAUCGUACAACAUUCAAGCCCUUGCAGUUUGGGCAAAUAUAUGUCUAGCAAGAAAGGAGAGACAGAAUUCACCAUUAGUGUGGCUUUUUACUGGAAUGUUUUGCAUUUAUUCAUUGUUCUUCGCUUGGAGGGCAAAUUUAGAUAUUUCAAAACCACUGUUCAUGGGUGUGGUGGAACGAUUUUGGAUGCAAAGCAAUGCAGUGGUAGCCGUCCUCGCUGGCAUCGGUUUGGCUUCACUUGUGUCUAAGACUAACCAAGUGCUGAAUAGCAACGGGCUUCAGUGUCUGGAAUGGCUUUCAGCAACUCUUUUUGUAGUUUUCCAAAUAUAUUCUAAUUAUAGCAUUUGUGACCAAAGGACCAACACUGUGAUCGAUAAAUUUGCAAAGAACCUUCUAGAUUCUAUGCCACAUGAUGCAAUUAUCUUACUUAGAGGCGAUUUGCCAGGCAAUUCUCUCCGUUAUAUGCAUUACUGCGAAGGAUUGAGGCCAGAUAUUUCAUUAGUGGAUCAGGAAAUGAUGACUUAUGAGUGGUAUUUACCGAAAAUGGCAAAGCAUUUACCAGGUGUUCAUUUUCCUGGGAACCGGUGGAAUCCUGUGGAAGGAAUAUUACCCAGUGGAAUGGUCACAUUUAAUCUUUAUCAUUUUCUUGAAAUAAAUAAACAAAAAGAAACAUUUGUUUGCAUAGGAAUUCAUGAAGGUGACCCAACCUGGAAAAAGAACUAUUCACUUUGGCCGUGGGGGUCUUGUGACAAAUUAGUUCCUUCAGAGAUUGUAUUCAACCCUGAGGAAUGGAUUAAACUCACAAGAAAUAUCUACAACUGGACUGAAGAAUAUGGAAGGUUUGAUCCAUCUUCUUGGGAAUCUGUGGCCAAUGAAGAGAUGUGGCAAGCAAGGAUGAAAACACCGUUCUUCAUCUUCAGCCUGGCAGAAACUACUGAUAUGCCUUCAAAGGUGAAAACUCAGCUCUACUCUCAUGCAUAUAAGAUGGAAAUUUGAAGGAGAAUUAGAAGGCUUAGAGAUGGAAAAUUUGGAGAAGAAAAGAAUAAUGUCUUAAGAUUUCUGGAGGGGCUAACUGACGUGACAAUUCAGAACAUGUCAGCAUGCCUGUCACUCCCUCCACGAUCCUUAUCGCAAUGUGAGAUGGAUGAUUUCUAUGUGUUUUGCUUUGCGAGAGACACCAAGAAGAGUGACAUCAAUGUCAACAGUCUUGUCAGCCUCAGCAUCAUUCAUGGGAAGAGAAAUGGUCUCACUAUGUUGUACAGGCUGGUCUGAAACUUGUGAGCCCAGUUGAUCCACCUGUCUCAGCUUCCCGAGUAGCUAAGACUACAGAUGAGAAGGCUGAGACCCCACAGAAGUUAAGUGCCCUGCCCAGGUCAUUAUGGUGGUGGCAGAGUCCAGUUCCGGGAUCGCAUCUCCCAGCUCAGCACACAUCCAACUGAUGCCAUCUUGUCCUGGCUCCACUGGCCCUAGAAACCCAAAGUAUGGCACCAGCCUGUAGCCAGCAUCAUAAACUAAACAAAGACAGCCAAAUGCCACCCAAACCCAAAGCAGCAAUUUGCGUUGGCUGAAUAUCAAAUAAUCCUUUCUGUACCUAUUCUACCAACACUAUAGUACCAGGAAAAUAGACAUCUUUUAAAAAUAUUUAGGAGUGGGGCCAGGUGGGGUGGCACACACCUGUUAUCCCAGCAACCGAGAAGGUUAAGGCAAGAGGAUUGCAAGUUCCAGGCCAACCUUAGCAACUUAGUGAGGUCCUAAGCAACUUAGCAAGACCCUUUCUUAAAUAAAAAAUUUUAAAAGGCUAAGGAGGGGCUGGGGCUGUAGUUAUAGCUCAGUUGGUAGAGUGCUUCCCUAGCACGCACGUGUGAGGCACUGAGUUCGAACCUCAGCACCACGUAAAAAUAAAAUAAAGGUAUUGAUUGUGUCCAUCUACAACUAUAAAUUUUUUUUUUUUUUAAAUGAAGAAGGCUGGAGGGCUGGGGUUGUGGCUCAGUGGUAGAGCACUUGUCUAGCACUAGUGAGGCACUGGGUUCCUUGCCCAGCACCACAGUAAAUAAAUCAACAAAUAAACAAGAGUCUUCACAAAAGAAACACAAACAUUUCCACCAUCCCUAAUAGAUGCCCCAUAAUAGAUAAACCUAAAAACAAAAUCAACAAGAACAAAAACUUUUAAGAGCUAUAGAAAAACUUAUGUUCAAGACCUUGCAUGAGUUUAUAUCUGGCUGGAAGUCAAAACACACGGAGGUAGAUUCUGUUUAAGGAUCUGCACGUAAAACAGACAUUGCGUUUGGAAGGAGUCCACACUUGGGUUCCAAGAGAUCCCAACCUGUUUAAUGAGGUUUUCCAACUCCCAGGGCAUUGACUUUGACAAGCGCAUAUCCUUUGUUUUGGAAACAAGCAAGUUUUUGUACUUCUGCCAAGAGUGCUUUCUGUUGUAAAGACAGCCCGGGACACCAGCUGUGUGGUUCACCUGACUUCUCUACCUUGACGGUCAGCACACCGAUGUUUUUGUUUGUUUUUAGCAUUUCUAUGUAAGGAUUCCUCCCAUUUUCAGAGCCUUGGAGCUUAUCGGGAGGGUGGGUGGUUAGUGCAAACUACCCUGGGGGGAGAUUGCUUGUGGUCUUGCAUUUUAGUGGCUAGGACAGAGGACCCAGACUGAGGUCAAAAUUAUUAUGUGGAGAUUAAACCGUAGAAUUUAAUUAUGUGUUCUGUUGCUCCUGGUACAUUUAUUAAUUUAGCAGUACAAACUGACUGGAGCUAAACAAGCAGGACUGAUUAAUUUGCAAAGACAUCUAGGUAACAGAUGUGAUCAAAGUGGAGACCUGAUCCUGUUAGAUUGAAAUGUGUUGUUUUGUGCUGCAUGAAAGACAUGGAGCAGCAUGGUUUAUCUUUAUCAAUGCUCUCCUCUGAAGGAGGGGAACAGGCUUGCAGAUACUAAUCAGGGCUGAGGCCCUGCCACUCAAUAAUUACCCACUGUCUCAUCAUAAUCCCGGAACUAAGCCCCUGCCCAAUCCAUCUGGGACCCUUUUCCAUCUAUUGCACAGCUCAAGAAUAUGUGUGUAAGCUAUUACCUCUGGUUGUGCUAUCUGUCCCCUGAGUAUAGAUUCAUGGCAGUGACCAAUUAGGUUGCUGUGUUCUCUUUCCCCGCUUGCUUCAGAAGCAUCCUGUACUUCUCAGCACUGGUAAUGAAGCACAGAUGCAUCAGGGUGCAGAAAGCCACUCACCUAUAAAAGCUGUCUCGCCACAGUCGCUGAUAAGCAUCAUGUGAUUCUUAAUAUUGUGGGGGGUUUUGAAAAGAGGAGGUGGUGAGACCAUACCUCUGCAUCUUCAGUCUUCUCUAAGUCACUCUCAACCUGCUGCUGCCUUCUGCCAAGAACAAAUCACACACCGAGGAAAAUGUUCCUGACCCUAAUCCAGAAACCAAACAGCUGAGAAGUGAAGAGGGGCCGGGGUGGGGAUAAUUGAAUCCUGGAUUCCUGAAAGAGGAUCCAGUACUGGGCCUUGCUUAAAAACAUGGGACUCUGAAGUUCAAGAUUCUGUUCAGGUUCUGCUGUUAACCAGCCAGUCACAGCCUCUUCGAAAUUUCAUUUACCCUUGAUAGAAGAGUGUCUGACUCAUAAAGUUGCCUUCAGAGUUACCUGAGCUACUACAUAUAGCACUCAACUUUAUAGAUGAUAGAACCUCUAUCAAAGGUAGUUAGUCUUAUUGCUUUCUGAAUUCGUGUCAUAUUCAUGCCUGACUUUGUAUUUGAUAUUUGUAGCCAACAUCCCCCCACCAAUCUAGUUCUUUUUUAUUUUAUUUUUGGGGGUUACUGGGAAUUGAACAUAGGGGUGUUUAACCACUGAGCCACAUCCCCAGCCCUUUUUUAAAAAUAUAUUUUAUUUAGAGACAGGGUCUUGCUGAGUUGCCUCACUAAGUUGCUGAGACUGGCCUUGAACUCCUUGCCUCAGAUUCCUGAGCUGCUGGGAUUACAGGUGUGCACCAUCAUGCCCAGCGCCAAAUCUCAAACUGCAAGUCAUCCAUUAAUUAUUUGGGAUGUGUGCUUUUAUCUUCCAAAUUAAAGUAUACAUUCCUGAAGGGUAAAAUCCACGUCUUUAAAAAAAAAUGUGUAUAUCUCACUGGUGACAGUUAAUGCAUACUAAUUCUUAUACUGAAGAAAGCCUCAAAAAAUCUUCAGAGAUAGAUAAUGUUGAGGGAGAGAGGGACAAGCAGUCUGUUAUAAUUUUCUUUCUUUUUUUUAUAAAGAGAGAGAGAAUUUUUCAAUAUUUAUUUUUUAGUUUUCGGUGGACACAACAUCUUUAUUUUAUUUUUAUGUGGUGCUGAGGAUCGAACCCAGCGCCCCGUGCAUGCCAGGCGAGCGCACUACCGCUUGAGCCACAUCCCCAGCCCCAUAAUUUUCAAAUAAGGAAACGGAGACAGUGAUGUCCAUUGGGUCACCUAGCAGAGCUGCUGUUAUCAGUGGUAGAAAUUCACUGUUAUCGGAGGUAGAAUUUCAACUCAUUGCUGGUGAAAGAAUCUGCAGAGCCACUUUCGAGCAGCACCCACUCCAUCUUAAGCCUUAGGGGCUGUUUUCAGUGGACACUGGGUUGAGGCGCAGGCCCAACUCCUCAUUUGCCAAGACCCUGUUUCAGAUCUAUGCUGAUACCGACAGGAUUUUAAUUAGUUAAAUCUACCACUUGGCUCUUCUUGGUCUUCCCUGGCAGAGUGGAAAAUACAUGAAAAUAUGAAUGUUUCACAUUUACACUUCCAAAACACUCCUUCCCUGAUGAACCACCUUUUGGAAUUUAUACCGGCAGCUCUGACAGCUGUUUUCUAUUUAUUUCCAUGAUUGGCCCAUUUCAAUUUGGGGCUUUUAUUCAUUAUAUUAGCAAAUAUUUGUGAAAGGAUCAGGCAUGGGAUGAGGUAUGUUUGUCAGGAUUGUAAUUAAGGUGCUAUGUGUACCAGGGGUAGACAGGGAUGGGCUAGAUCCUCAACCCACACAAGCUGUGUUACUUUAAAAGACGUACAGACCUCUCUGGGCCACAUCUGGCCCACAGGUAUGUCGUGUAUAUGUUGUUUUGUUUGCACUGAUCCAAAAGGUAGAUAAGAAAGAAUUUGGAUAAAAAUUUAAAGAAUCUAAUACAUUAGCUUUUGGUAAAUUCCUUGCCUACAGCAUAUCCUAAAAUCCAUUUAUUUUUUAGACUGAUCUUUUUGAAGUGUAAUUUUAAGAAAUUAUAAUUUUAAGAAAUUAUAAUUUUAAGAAAUUAUAUCAUUUAAGAAAUUAUAUCAUUUAAGAAAUUAUAAUUUCAUGGAAUUUCUCAAAAGUUUUUAUUUAUUCACAUGGUAGGCCUGGAUCUGGUGAAAAGAAUAUAUUGAAAUUCCUUCUUUCUCUUUCAGAGCUUUCUCAAAUAGAGAGCUCUCUGGAGGUCUCAGCACCAUUUGCCAUUUUCAUAUUUUUUAUGUCUUUCUUUUUUCUCCUUUUUAGUAUUGAGGAAUGAACCCAAGCUCUUGCACAUAACAGGCACGCACUCUACAACUGAGCAACAUCCCCAGUCCUUUUAUUUUUUAUUUUGAGACAGGGUCAUGCUAAGUUGCUGACGCUGUCCUCAAACUUACAAUCCUCCUGCCUCAGGCUCCCAUAUUGCUGGGAUUACAGGCAUUGGCCACCAUGCCUGACUUUGUAUUUAAUUUUAAAGGCAGUGUACUGCAAGGAGGCUGGAUGCAAGAUACAUCCUACACUAAACUGCACUGUUAUUUAAGAUGUAAUAAAGUAGCAUAACAUUUUUAAA